UGCAAGUCGAGCGGACAGAUGGGAGCUUGCUCCCUGAUGUUAGCGGCGGACGGGUGAGUAACACGUGGGUAACCUGCCUGUAAGACUGGGAUAACUCCGGGAAACCGGGGCUAAUACCGGAUGCUUGUUUGAACCGCAUGGUUCAAACAUAAAAGGUGGCUUCGGCUACCACUUACAGAUGGACCCGCGGCGCAUUAGCUAGUUGGUGAGGUAAUGGCUCACCAAGGCAACGAUGCGUAGCCGACCUGAGAGGGUGAUCGGCCACACUGGGACUGAGACACGGCCCAGACUCCUACGGGAGGCAGCAGUAGGGAAUCUUCCGCAAUGGACGAAAGUCUGACGGAGCAACGCCGCGUGAGUGAUGAAGGUUUUCGGAUCGUAAAGCUCUGUUGUUAGGGAAGAACAAGUACCGUUCGAAUAGGGCGGUACCUUGACGGUACCUAACCAGAAAGCCACGGCUAACUACGUGCCAGCAGCCGCGGUAAUACGUAGGUGGCAAGCGUUGUCCGGAAUUAUUGGGCGUAAAGGGCUCGCAGGCGGUUUCUUAAGUCUGAUGUGAAAGCCCCCGGCUCAACCGGGGAGGGUCAUUGGAAACUGGGGAACUUGAGUGCAGAAGAGGAGAGUGGAAUUCCACGUGUAGCGGUGAAAUGCGUAGAGAUGUGGAGGAACACCAGUGGCGAAGGCGACUCUCUGGUCUGUAACUGACGCUGAGGAGCGAAAGCGUGGGGAGCGAACAGGAUUAGAUACCCUGGUAGUCCACGCCGUAAACGAUGAGU
rnacentral:rRNA from 1 species